rnacentral:rRNA from 1 species
AACGAACGCUGGCGGCAGGCCUAACACAUGCAAGUCGAGCGAGGACUUCGGUCCUAGCGGCGGACGGGUGAGUAACGCGUGGGAACGUACCCUUUGCUACGGAAUAGCCCCGGGAAACUGGGAGUAAUACCGUAUGUGCCCUUUGGGGGAAAGAUUUAUCGGCGAAGGAUCGGCCCGCGUUGGAUUAGGUAGUUGGUGGGGUAAUGGCCUACCAAGCCGACGAUCCAUAGCUGGUUUGAGAGGAUGAUCAGCCAAACUGGGACUGAGACACGGCCCAGACUCCUACGGGAGGCAGCAGUGGGGAAUCUUAGACAAUGGGCGCAAGCUUGAUCUAGCCAUGCCGCGUGAGCGAUGAAGGCCUUAGGGUUGUAAAGCUCUUUCAGGGGGGAAGAUAAUGACUGUACCCCCAGAAGAAGCCCCGGCUAACUCCGUGCCAGCCGCCGCCGUAACAC